ACACUUAUCUGGCAGGGGAGAUACCACGAUCAAGCAGGCGAUUUUCCCGGAACGAGGCUUGUCCAUUGCACUGAGGAUGUGCUGAACUCUGAGAUUUCCCCAAAGGUGGGAAACUCGACUGCAUAAAUUGUAGUAGUGGGUGACUGUGUUUGCGCUCUCCCCUG